GACGAACGCUGGCGGCGUGCUUAACACAUGCAAGUCGAACGGUGAAGCGCUUGCCUUUUUGGUGGGUGUGGAUGAGUGGCGAACGGGUGAGUAACACGUGAGUAACCUGCCCUCUUCUUCUGGAUAACCUCAUGAAAGUGGGGCUAAUACGGGGUAUUCCGGGUCUGUCGCAUGGCGGGUUUGGGAAAGAUUGCGCCUUUGGGUGUUUUCGGUGGGGGAUGGGCUCGCGGCCUAUCAGCUUGUUGGUGGGGUGAUGGCCUACCAAGGCGGUGACGGGUAGCCGGCCUGAGAGGGUGGACGGCCACACUGGGACUGAGACACGGCCCAGACUCCUGCGUGAGGCAGCAGUGGGGAAUAUUGCACAAUGGGCGCAAGCCUGAUGCAGCGACGCCGCGUGAGGGAUGGAGGCCUUCGGGUUGUGAACCUCUUUCGCCAGUGAAGCAGGCCUGCUCCUGUGUGGGUGGGUUGACGGUAGCUGGAUAAGAAGCGCCGGCUAACUACGUG
rnacentral:rRNA from 1 species